ACACUGGUGGCUCAAUGGUUAAGUGUUCGACUCCUAAUCAAAAGGUCAGUGGUUCAAACCCACCAGUGGU
rnacentral:tRNA from 1 species